UACGGGGGGGAGCAAGCGUUGUUCGGAUUUACUGGGCGUAAAGGGCGCGUAGGCGGCCACCGCAAGUCAAUUGUGAAAUCUCCGGGCUUAACUCGGAAAGGUCAACUGAUACUGCGGGGCUAGAGUGCGGAAGGGGCAACUGGAAUUCUCGGUGUAGCGGUGAAAUGCGCAGAUAUCAGGAGGAACACCGGUGGCGAAGGCGGGUCUCUGGGCAGUAACUGACGCUGAGACGCGAAAGCGUGGGGAGCGAACAGG
rnacentral:rRNA from 1 species